ensembl:snoRNA Gm23532 predicted gene, 23532
GCAAAAUUCUCUCUGAUGAAAAUGUUCCCCAUGCUAGAGCAAACUGUGGCUCCUGACCGUUGCCCAGUCUCUGUGCCUGUAGGAUGCUGGCACUACAGUGGGUUACACAGUG